rnacentral:rRNA from 1 species
AUUGAACGCGGGCGGCAGGCCUAACACAUGCAAGUCGAGGGAACGGCGGACGAGUGAGUAAUGUAUGGGUACUUACUGAUGGAGGGGGAUAACUACUGGAACCGGUAGCUAAUACCGCAUACUAUCGGAUACCCACUAUGGGAUUAGCUAGUAGGUGGGGUAAUGGCUAACCUAGUCGACGAUCCCUAGCUGGUCUGAGAGGAUGACCAGCCACACUGGGACUGAGACACGGCCCAGACUCCUACGGAGGCAGCAGUGGGGAAUAUUGCAGAAUGGGCGCAAGCCUGAUGCAGCCAUGCCGCGUGUAUGAAGAAGGCCCUCGGGUUGUAAAGUACUUUCAGGCGGGAGGCGUUACCGACAGAAGAAGCACCGGCUAACUCCGUGCCAGCAGCCGCGGUAAUUC